UCUUCUUGAUUUGUAGUGACUGAAGCAGAAGCUUUGUUCGCAGGUGAUGAAGGCUGGCACUUAGCAGUUCAGUUCAAUCUUGAGUGUGCCUAUACAUUUUUGUAUUACUAUGAGUACAAGAAAGCUAAACAGUGUUUCAGUACGGCUAAAGACAUUGCAAAACUGCAGAUUAAUCUAACAGGUGCUUUGGGAAAGAGAACACGAUUUCAGGAAAAAUAUGUAGCACAGCUUAUACUGGAUGUCCAAAGAUCAGAGGAAUGUAUCCCUCCUCAUAGUGAGCUAACCCCAGCACCUACUCCUCUAGAAAACUUAACUAUGAAUUGUGAUUUAAAUGAUGAUACGGUGCUUAAUGAGAUAAAAUUAGCAGAUGCUAAUCAGUACCAAGUACCUGAUUUGUGUGCAGAAGAGCUUGCUGUAAUCCUCGGAAUUUGUAUAGACUUCCAAAAGAACAAUCCAAUACACAAAUUAACUGAAGAGGAACUUUUGGCUUUUACUUCAGUAAGUAACUUAUCUGAAGCU